GUGCCAGCAGCCGCGGUAAUACGGAAGGUCCGGGCGUUAUCCGGAUUUAUUGGGUUUAAAGGGAGCGCAGGCUGGAGUUUAAGCGUGACGUGAAAUGUGGCGGCUCAACCGCCGAACUGCGUCGCGAACUGGAUUCCUUGAGUGAGUUCGACGUGGACGGAAUUCGUGGUGUAGCGGUGAAAUGCUUAGAUAUCACGAAGAACCCCGAUUGCGAAGGCAGUCCACGAGGCCUUAACUGACGCUAAAGCUCGAAGGUGCGGGUAUCGAACAGGAUUAGAUACCCUGGUAGUCCGCACGGUAAACGAUGGAUGCCCGCUGUCGGCGAUACACGGUCGGCGGCCAAGCGAAAGCGUUAAGCAUCCCACCUGGGGAGUACGCCGGCAACGGUGAAACUCAAAGGAAUUGACGGGGGCCCGCACAAGCGGAGGAACAUGUGGUUUAAUUCGAUGAUACGCGAGGAACCUUACCCGGGCUUGAACUGCAGCGGAAGGAUUCAGAGAUGAUGACGCCCUUCGGGGUCGCUGUGGAGGUGCUGCAUGGUUGUCGUCAGCUCGUGCCGUGAGGUGUCGGCUUAAGUGCCAUAACGAGCGCAACCCCUGCCGUCAGUUGCCAUCAGGUGAUGCUGGGCACUCUGUCGGGACUGCCACCGUAAGGUGUGAGGAAGGUGGGGAUGACGUCAAAUCAGCACGGCCCUUACGUCCGGGGCUACACACGUGUUACAAUGGGUGGUACAGAGAGUAGGGUGCCGGCAACGUCGCUCCAAUCUUCAAAGCCAUCCUCAGUUCGGAUUGGGGUCUGCAACCCGACCCCAUGAAGCUGGAUUCGCUAGUAAUCGCGCAUCAGCCAUGGCGCGGUGAAUACGUUCCCGGGCCUUGUACACACCGCCCGU
rnacentral:rRNA from 1 species